CAGUAGCCGCGGUAAUACGAAGGGGGCUAGCGUUGCUCGGAAUUACUGGGCGUAAAGGGCGCGUAGGCGGACAGUUCAGUCGGGGGUGAAAGCCCGGGGCUCAACCUCGGAAUUGCCUUCGAUACUGGCUGUCUUGAGUAUGAGAGAGGUGUGUGGAACUCCGAGUGUAGAGGUGAAAUUCGUAGAUAUUCGGAAGAACACCAGUGGCGAAAGCGACUCACUGGCCCAUUACUGACGCUGAGGCUCGAAAGCGUGGGGAGCAAACAGGAUUAGAUACCCCCGUAGUCCCUGUCUCUUAUAC
rnacentral:rRNA from 1 species